ACGACUCGUUAAGCCGAGUGCCUAUACAGGUGUUGCAUGGGCUGUCGUCAGCUCGUGCCGUGAGGUGUUGGGUUAAGUCCCGCAACGAGCGCAACCAUCAUCCUUAGUUGCUACCGAGGGAUCCGAAAGGGUCCUGGCGAGCACUCUAAGGAGACUGCCCGUGAUAAACGGGAGGAAGGUGGAGAUGACGUCAAGUCCGUAUGGCCCUUAUACCCUGGGCUACACACGUGUUACAAUGGGAUGUACAGAGCGUUGCCAAACCGCGAGGUGGAGCUAAUCGCAAAAAGCAUCCCCCAGUUCAGAUUGGAGUCUGCAACCCGACUCCAUGAAGUUGGAAUUGCUAGUAACGGCGGAUCAGCUACGCCGCCGUGAAUACGUUCCCGGGCCUU
rnacentral:rRNA from 1 species